rnacentral:tRNA from 1 species
CGGGGAUUAGCUCAGAUGGCUAGAGCGCACGCAUGGGGUGCGUGAGGUCACCAGUUCAAGUCUGGUAUCCCCGACC